GACGAACGCUGGCGGCGUGCUUAACACAUGCAAGUCGAACGAAGUGGCGAACGGGUGAGUAACGCGUAAUCAACCUGCCCUUCAGAGGGGGACAACAGUUGGAAACGACUGCUAAUACCGCAUACUGAAGGAGGGGAUUGCGUCUGAUUAGCUAGUUGGUGGGGUAACGGCCCACCAAGGCGAUGAUCAGUAGCCGGACUGGGAGGAGGAACGGCCAAAUCGGGAAUGAGAGCCGGCCCAGACUCCUACGGGAGGCAGCAGGGGGGAAUCUUCCGCAAUGGACGAAAGUCUGACGGAGCAACGCCGCGUGAGUGAUGACGGCCUUCGGGUUGGAAAGCUCUGUUAAUCGGGGCGCGGUACCGGAAUAGAAAGCCACGGCUAACUACGUGCCAGCUGCCGCGGUAAUAC
rnacentral:rRNA from 1 species